AGCAGCCGCGGUAAUUCCAGCUCCAAUAGCGUAUAUUAAAGUUGUUGCAGUUAAAAAGCUCGUAGUUGAAUUUCGGGAUCAAUACGUCGGUCGUGCUUCGGUACGUACUGGCGUAAUUGAUUUCUCCCUUCUGACGAACCAUGAUGUCAUUAACUUGGUGUCAUGGGAAAUCAGGACUGUUACUUUGAAAAAAUUAGAGUGUUUAAAGCAGGCUCACGCUUGAAUACAUUAGCAUGGAAUAAUGAAAUAGGACGCUCGAUCCUAUUUUGUUGGUUUCUAGGAUUGACGUAAUGAUUAAUAGGGAUAGUUGGGGGCAUUAGUAUUCAAUUGUCAGAGGUGAAAUUCUUGGAUUUAUUGAAGACUAACUACUGCGAAAGCAUUUGCCAAGGAUGUUUUCAUUAAUCAAGAACGAAAGUUAGGGGAUCGAAGACGAUCAGAUACCGUCGUAGUCUUAACCAUAAACUAUGCCGACUAGGGAUCGGAUGAUGUUAAUUUUUAAUUGACUCAUUCGGCGUCCG
rnacentral:rRNA from 1 species